UCUUUCUUUGCUGGCGACCGGCGCACGGGUGAGUAACACGUAUCCAACCUGCCCUUUACUCGGGGAUAGCCUUUCGAAAGAAAGAUUAAUACCCGAUAGUAUAAUGAUUCCGCAUGGUUUCAUUAUUAAAGGAUUCCGGUAAAGGAUGGGGAUGCGUUCCAUUAGGUUGUUGGUGAGGUAACGGCCCACCAAGCCUUCGAUGGAUAGGGGUUCUGAGAGGAAGGUCCCCCACAUUGGAACUGAGACAUGGUCCAA
rnacentral:rRNA from 1 species